UUUCUUUUCGAACAUGUGUUUUUAUUAAACCAAAAAACAAAUACCUCAGCUAUACUUUAGAAAAAUAAUAAACGCAUAAACCCUGUGUACCAGAACAUAAAGUUCAAACCUUCUUUAAUUUCUGUAAUAUAUACAGACAUAAUGCAAUCUAACAUUUCAAAAAAUCACUACACGAGCCCCGGACCAGGUAGAAGGAGGUUGUCGCUCCGGGGGGUAAUAAACAAUAAAAUUUUCAAUAUUGAAGGAUCUUUUUCAUACAACGCCGAGUCAGUGCCUGCAACGGAGAGGUUACUUCGAUACGGUUGAAUGACCCCUCGCAUCACUGAUUUCAGUUCCUGCGACUUUUUAAGGUUUUUAAACACGCCCUCGAGUCCUGAAGGAAAUUCUCCUGAAUCCUGGAGGAAAUGCUCCUCUAAGUUGGCAAGUGUUGCAGAGAUUAAGGAACUUUAAAAGCGC